CAAUGGGCGCAGCCUGAUCCAGCCAUGCCCGCGUGUGUGAAGAAGGCCUGUCGGGUUGUAAAGCACUUUCAGUUGUGAAGAAAAGCUUGGGGAUAAUACCCCCGAGUCUUGACGUUACCUUUAGAAGAAGCACCGGCUAACUCUGUGCCAGCAGCCGCGGUAAUAC
rnacentral:rRNA from 1 species